GACGAACCGAGCGACCGUUGUUCGGAUUCACUGGGCGUAAAGGGUGCGUAGGCGGUCGGGUAAGUCUGACGUGAAAUCUUCAAGCUCAACUUGGAAACUGCGUCGGAUACUAUUCGGCUAGAGGAAUGGAGGGGAGACUGGAAUACUUGGUGUAGCAGUGAAAUGCGUAGAUAUCAAGUGGAACACCAGUGGCGAAGGCGAGUCUCUGGACAUUUCCUGACGCUGAGGCACGAAAGCCAGGGGAGCAAACGGG
rnacentral:rRNA from 1 species